GACGAACGCUGGCGGCGUGCUUAACACAUGCAAGUCGAACGGAAAGGCCCUGCUUGCAGGGUACUCGAGUGGCGAACGGAUGAGUAACACGUGGGUGAUCUGCCCUGCACUUCGGGAUAAGCUUGGGAAACUGGGUCUAAUACCGGAUAGGAACCAUCUUUAGUGUGGUGGUUGGAAAGUUUUUUCGGUGUAGGAUGAGCUCGCGGCCUAUCAGCUUGUUGGUGGGGUAAUGGCCUACCAAGGCGGCGACGGGUAGCCGGCCUGAGAGGGUGUACGGCCACAUUGGGACUGAGAUACGGCCCAGACUCCUACGGGAGGCAGCAGUGGGGAAUAUUGCACAAUGGGCGCAAGCCUGAUGCAGCGACGCCGCGUGGGGGAUGAAGGCCUUCGGGUUGUAAACUCCUUUCGCUAGGGACGAAGCUUUGUUGUGACGGUACCUAGAUAAGAAGCACCGGCUAACUACGUG
rnacentral:rRNA from 1 species